UACGGAGGGGGCUAGCGUUGUUCGGAAUUACUGGGCAUAAAGCGCACGUAGGCGGCCAGAUAAGUGUAGAGUGAAAUCCCACGGCUCACCCGUGGAACUGCUUUGCAUACUGUCUGGCUAGAGGAAGGUAGGGGAGAGCAGAACUCUUGGAGGAGCGGUGAAAUGCGUAGAUAUCAAGAGGAAUACCAGUGGCGAAGGCGGCUCUCUGGUCCUUUUCUGACGCUGAGGUGCGAAAGCUAGGGUAGCGAACGGG
rnacentral:misc_RNA from 1 species